GACGAACGCUGGCGGCGUGCUUAACACAUGCAAGUCGAACGAUGAAGAAGAGAAACGCGAACUUCGGUUCAAAUUUCACUUCGGAUUAGUGGCAGACGGGUGAGUAACGCGUGAGCAACCUACCUCUUACAAAGGGAUAGCCUCGGGAAACCGUGAUUAAUACCAUAUGACACAUUCAUAAGGCAUCUUAAGAAUGUUAAAGCUACGGCGGUAAGAGAUGGGCUCGCGUCCCAUUAGCUAGUUGGUGAGGUAACGGCCCACCAAGGCGACGAUGGGUAACCGGCCUGAGAGGGUGAACGGUCACAUUGGAACUGAGACACGGUCCAAACCCCUACGGGAGGCAGCAGUGGGGAAUAUUGCACAAUGGAGGGAACUCUGAUGCAGCGACGCCGCGUGAGCGAUGAAGGAAUUCGUUUCGUAAAGCUCUGUUCUAUGGGAAGAAAAGGACUGUACCAUAGGAGAAAGCCCCGGCUAAAUACGUG
rnacentral:rRNA from 1 species